CCUCCCAAAGUCCAUGCAUGUUCGGCGGCCGAAAAUGAGUUUCGGCGGCCGAACCUGGGUUUUUCCUUAAAGAAUUUUCAUGCAAAAACUUAUUUAAAAUCAUACUUAAAACAUUAAAAUACAUGAAAACAUUUUAUAAAAACAUGCUUUUACCCUUCUAGAGGUUUCAGACACCCAAAUUCCACCGGACGGUAGGAAUUCCGAUACCGGAGUCUAACCGGGUAUUACA
rnacentral:lncRNA from 1 species